rnacentral:misc_RNA from 1 species
UCUCCUGAAAACGGUUGUUGGUU